AUGCGGAGAGGCGAAACUGACG
rnacentral:misc_RNA from 1 species